rnacentral:ncRNA from 1 species
AACUCCGGAGAAUUCCAACAAGAUUGGAUGCCGAAGGUGCAAAGGGGCUCUGCCCCCGAAUCUCUCAGGCAAAAGGACGGAGGUA